UCGAGAAUUUUUCACAAUGGGCGCAAGCCUGAUGGAGCGACGCCGCGUGGGGGAUGAAUGGCUUCGGCCCGUAAACCCCUGUCAUUCGCGAUCAAACGUUGGUAUUUAAAAGAUGCCAGCCUGAUAGUAGCGGAAGAGGAAGGGACGGCUAACUCUGUGCCAGCAGCCGCGGUAAUACAGAGGUCCCGAGCGCUGUUCGGAUUCACUGGGCGUAAAGGGUGCGUAGGUGGUGAGGUAAGUCGGAUGUGAAAGCUCGGAGCUCAACUCCGAGAUGGCAUUGGAAACUCCCUUGCUUGAGGAUUGGAAGGGGGAGUGGAAUGCUUGGUGUAGCAGUGAAAUGCGUAGAUAUCAAGCGGAACACCAGUGGCGAAGGUGAGUCCCUGGACAACACCUGACACUGAGGCA
rnacentral:rRNA from 1 species